AAUGGCAUGAAUGAUGACUAAACUUUUUUCCCCAGCAGAUCGACACUGUUGACUUCUUAAAAAAAAGAAAUUAAGCCAAACUGUCUGAGCCAUU